GGGAAGAAGGGUCGGCUCCUCCUCAUCUCCUGUCUCGUUGGCCUAACUUUGCUCCCGGCUGGCAAACUCGUCUGCGCCUCCUGGAUGUGGGGCGUAGAGCCUGGCGGAGAAGCGGUGACGCCUGGCGGGGAGCUCCACCGGAGCCUGACGUGGCGGGAGCCGGGGCCUGGGUCUGCUCUGGUCCAAUGUGAGUGCGGGGCUACUUCGGUGUCUGCCGCUGAGGGUGCCACGGAGCCUGUGCGGGACCCCAGACCUCGCUGCAGGAAGUCUGGGACAGGCGAGAGGCUGUGGGGAUCCCGGUCGGCGCUCUCCUUUGAGUAGAUGGCCCAGUUGUCCUUGAGGGAGGCAGGUCGGUGGUGCCUUUGGGGAGUCUGUGGGGGGCUGUCCUCUCUCUGGUGACUCAUAGAUUUCCAUGAAUUCAUCUUGUGCCGUCACCACCUCAACUUGUGGCUUCCAAGGUCACUGCAACAGAGGAAGUGAGGAAGGGCUGAAGCUCCGGGACUUUUCACCUCCUCCACCAUAUGUGAACCCACUCACUUCCACCCAUCAUCCAUCCACCGGAAGAGGAUCCACUCACUUCCGCCCAUCAUCCGUCCACCGGAAGAGGACCCACUCACUUCCACCCAUCAUCCAUCCACCUGUAGAGGAUCCACUCACUUCCGCUACUUAACUAAUUCUUGGUUAAUCAUCCAUCAUCCAUCCACCGGAAAAGGACCCACUCGCUUCUGCCCAUCAUCCACCACCCUUGUUUCUGGCCAUCCUCCAUCCACCGGAAGAGGACACAUUCGCUUCCACCCAUCAUCCACGUGGGGAGCCCAAAGGCCUCAGUCUGCCUUCAGGUGAACUGAGACAGGUAGAGCAGCACCUGCAGGGAUCUCGUGAUCUCCGCCUGUCUCUGCACUGCCACCACCUCCUCCUGCCUCCCUCUCCACAUCUGGUCUGGGAGUAGUUUACACAGGGACCUAACAUCACGAGUGCCCUCAAUCCAUUUUAUUUUCCUGAAGACUCCACUCCAGGAGCGCUCUAAUCCCUUCUAUAGGCUGGAGUGGAAAUAGCCUGAUGGUAUUCUGAUUCUAGUUCUUCUGUGUGUGACCCUUUUUUUUUUCCUUUUCUUUUCUAUCUGGAAGCUGGUUGAAUCUUACAAUAAAAUGUCUUAGUGUGGGUCUUAUUAUUAUUUUUUUUUUACUGUGCUGGGCAUUUGUGGCCCCUUUCUGUCCGAGGAGUUGGACACUGUUGUCACCAGUUUCUUGCGCACCUUCGGGAGAUGGGCUGAG